rnacentral:tRNA from 1 species
UGUAGCUUAGUGGUAGAGCUCUUGUCUGCCAUGCACAGGGUCCUGGGUUCAAUCCCUAGCA